rnacentral:rRNA from 1 species
AGUGAACGCUGGCGGUAGGCCUAACACAUGCAAGUCGAACGGCAGCACAGGAGAGCUUGCUCUCUGGGUGGCGAGUGGCGGACGGGUGAGGAAUACAUCGGAAUCUACUUUUUCGUGGGGGAUAACGUAGGGAAACUUACGCUAAUACCGCAUACGACCUACGGGUGAAAGCAGGGGACCUUCGGGCCUUGCGCGAUUGAAUGAGCCGAUGUCGGAUUAGCUAGUUGGCGGGGUAAAGGCCCACCAAGGCGACGAUCCGUAGCUGGUCGGAGAGGAUGAUCAGCCACACUGGAACUGAGACACGGUCCAGACUCCUACGGGAGGCAGCAGUGGGGAAUAUUGGACAAUGGGCGCAAGCCUGAUCCAGCCAUACCGCGUGGGUGAAGAAGGCCUUCGGGUCGUAAAGCCCUUUUGUUGGGAAAGAAAUCCAGCCGGCUAAUACCUGGUUGGGAUGACGGUACCCAAAGAAUAAGCACCGGCUAACUUCGUGCCAGCAGCCGCCGCAG